rnacentral:rRNA from 1 species
AGGACGAACGCUGGCGGCGUGCCUAACACAUGCAAGUCGAACGAAGCAUUUGAUUGGAUCUCUUCGGAGUGAAGCUCUUAUGACUUAGUGGCGGACGGGUGAGUAACGCGUGAGUAACCUGCCUUUCAGUGGGGGACAACAGUUGGAAACGACUGCUAAUACCGCAUAAUGUUAUUUGGGGGCAUCCCCGAAUGACCAAAGAUUUAUUGCUGAAAGAUGGCUUCGCGUCUGAUUAGCUAGUUGGUGAGGUAACGGCUCACCAAGGCGACGAUCAGUAGCCGGUCUGAGAGGAUGAACGGCCACAUUGGGACUGAGAUACGGCCCAGACUCCUACGGGAGGCAGCAGUGGGGGAUAUUGCACAAUGGGCGAAAGCCUGAUGCAGCGACGCCGCGUGAGGGAAGACGGUUUUCGGAUUGUAAACCUCUGUCUUCGGGGACGAAAAUGACGGUACCCGAGGAGGAAGCCACGGCUAACUACGUG